rnacentral:rRNA from 1 species
CUGGUAGUCCACGCCGUAAACGGUGGGCGCUAGUUGUGCGAACCUUCCACGGUUUGUGCGACGCAGCUAACGCAUUAAGCGCCCCGCCUGGGGAGUACGAUCGCAAGAUUAAAACUCAAAGGAAUUGACGGGGCCCCGCACAAGCAGCGGAGCAUGCGGCUUAAUUCGACGCAACGCGAAGAACCUUACCAAGGCUUGACAUAUACAGGAAUAUGGCAGAGAUGUCAUAGCCGCAAGGUCUGUAUACAGGUGGUGCGUGGUUGUCGUCAGCUCGUGUCGUGAGAUGUUGGGUUAAGUCCCGCAACGAGCGCAACCCUCGUUCUGUGUUGCCAGCAUUAAGUUGGGGACUCACAGGAGACUGCCGGGGUUAACUCGGAGGAAGGUGGGGAUGACGUCAAAUCAUCAUGCCCCUUAUGUCUUGGGCUGCACGCAUGCUACAAUGGCUGGUACAAACGGCUGCGAUACCGCAAGGUGGAGCGAAUCCGAUAAAGCCAGUCUCAGUUCGGAUCGGGGUCUGCAACUCGACCCCAUGAAGUCGGAGUUGCUAGUAAUCGUAGAUCAGCAACGCUACGGUGAAUACGUUCCCGGGGCUUGUACACACCGCCCGUCACAUCACGAAAGUCGGUAACAC